rnacentral:rRNA from 1 species
GAUUGAACGCUGGCGGCAUGCCUAACACAUGCAAGUCGAACGGCAGCACGGGAGCUUGCUCCUGGUGGCGAGUGGCGGACGGGUGAGUAAUGCAUAGGAAUCUGCCCAGUAGCGGGGGACAACUUGGGGAAACUCAAGCUAAUACCGCAUACGCCCUACGGGGGGAAAGCGGGGGACCUUCGGGCCUCGCACUAUUGGAUGAGCCUAUGUCAGAUUAGCUUGUUGGUGGGGUAAAGGCCUACCAAGGCGACGAUCUGUAGCUGGUCUGAGAGGACGAUCAGCCACACUGGGACUGAGACACGGCCCCAGACUCCUACGGGAGGCAGCAGUGGGGAAUAUUGCACAAUGGGCGAAAGCCUGAUGCAGCAAUGCCGCGUGUGUGAAGAAGGCCUGCGGGUUGUAAAGCACUUUCAGUAGGGAGGAAACAGUAGCCGGUUAAUAUCCGGUUGCCUUGACGUUACCUACAGAAGAAGCACCGGCUAACUCUGUG